rnacentral:rRNA from 1 species
AACGAACGCUGGCGGCAGGCUUAACACAUGCAAGUCGAACGGGUGCAGCAAUGCAUCAGUGGCAGACGGGUGAGUAACACGUGGGAACCUUCCUAGGGGUACGGAACAACUCAGGGAAACUUGAGCUAAUACCGUAUACGUCCGUGAGGAGAAAGAUUUAUCGCCCUUAGACGGGCCCGCGUCGGAUUAGCUAGUUGGUGGGGUAACGGCCAACCAAGGCGACGAUCCGUAGCUGAUCUUAGAGGAUGAUCAGCCACACUGGGACUGGGACACGGCCCAGACUCCUACGGGAGGCAGCAGUGGGGAAUCUUGGACAAUGGGCGCAAGCCUGAUCCAGCCAUGCCGCGUGAGUGAAGAAGGUCUUCGGAUUGUAAAGCUCUUUUGCCAGGGACGAUAAUGACGGUACCUGGAGAAUAAGCCCCGGCAAACUUCGUGCCAGCCGCCGCAGUAA